rnacentral:lncRNA from 1 species
UUCAACAGAAACAAUACAUGAAAAGAGAUUUAACGCAGAAACAGAUCCAAGAAUCCAGCUGUCUGCAGUGAAGCCAGAUGCCUGACAUGCCGUGGCCAUAGUGCUGUUGUCAGCUCCCUGCUGUCUCAGGGCAGCUGUGUGCCUGGUCCCUGCUGCCAUCCUGCCCAGCCAGAGGUCUCAGCCUAGGAGUUCCUCAAAAGCCACUCUGCACCUGCCAUCCACACAGGCCACCUAGGGGCCCAGGGGCUGCAGUGAAAACAAUGGGACAAGAAGUAGCUACCGAGAUGGCUGAGGAUGGAGAGAUGAUGAUGGUGCUAGAGGAGGUGGUAAGACCAGUAAAAUCUAGAUUGUGUUUCCG